CGUUGUUAACCCAAACGCUAACGAACGUUACAUUGUUUACAAAAUAUACAAGAGCUUCUCGCGUAAUCUUUCUUUCAUUCCCGUUUGUCAAUUAAAACAUGGCCAAACUAAGUCCUGAUACCAAACGAAAGUUAACCUCGGUCGUGAAUGUGGGGAAGACGAUAUUUCAUUGGGGCUUCAUCCCUACCGUCAUUUAUUUAGGAUUUCGACAAGGAACUGACCCUGGCAUGCCACCCAUCACUGUUCUGAGUUUGCUGUGGCAGUGAUGCUGUGUUUGUAAUGUGUAUUCAUGUCAAGGCUUGUAAUACAAUUCUUGUUUAGGAA